GGGAGUGAGAUGGUAUCUCAUUGUGGUUUUGAUUUGCAAGAAAUACCUUUUAGUCAGUGUUAAGGAUGUUGAUGCUUUCUUCCUAUGAAUCAGUCUAUUUUUUUUUUCAAAUAUUGAGUCAUGAAAAUUUCCUUCUAUUAAAACAUUGCCUCAUCAGUAGCACAUGUACAAUUGAGCACAUACACUGGCCAAUUGAAAGUGGGUUAGACAGGUCAGUGGGGUAGGUGUGGUGAGGGCACCUGGCUGCAGAGCCACCUGUGUUCACCUCCUUG
rnacentral:lncRNA from 1 species